GUGGGUAUUGGGUUUUGAAUUCAGGGGCACUUAACCACUGAGCCAUAUCCCUAGCUGGGUUUUUUGUUUUUUGUUUUUUGUAUUUUAUUUAGAGACAGGGUCUCAGCUGAGUUGCUUAGUGCCUUCCUGUUGCUGAGGCUGGCUUUGAACUCAUGAUCCUCCUGCCUCAGGGCCACAUACCCUCUCUCUCGUCUUUGUUCUCUCGUCAACACUUAAUACUUCAUUUUUACUGCCUCUGUUUUGGUUGUUUUCCUUCAGUGUCAUAUCCAGUUUCAUAACUCUGUAUGUGUGUCCUUUAUAGGUCAUAUGUCUUUGUAUAUCAUCUAGUGUUCAUGUUCCUUUUUAUUCCUUGUCUCAUUCUUUCAGUGGUUAAGUGCUUCAGAAUUAUAUUUUAUAUCUGUAGUCUUACUUCAUGUUGCCUUUUAAACAUCUCCCUUGUCAUAGAUCAGUACACUUCUCCACUUUUCUCUCUUCACUUCUGUAUACCUCUUACAUAUGUUGCCAACUUAGAAAUUAUUGGUGCCUGUCUACUACUGUGUGUGUGUGUGUGUGUGUGUGUGCGUGUGCGCGCACAUGUGGGUACCUGAGUAUUUGCUUUGUGAAAAUCCCCCUCCCAUCUUUAUUGAUGAAUACUUUCAGGGCCAGUAAAACUUUGAUUAAAUCAUUUGGGCUUUUUUCUGUUGUCUUUUGACAUAGGUGUAAACAUUUUCGAACGUCAAGGUACAUAGCAAAAAAAAAAAACAACACAAAAUUCCCUCUUGUCUCUGACUCUUAGUCCUCCUGCAGUGUUUCUUUUCAAAGAGGCACACAUAUUCCUCUUUGAGGGAGUCCAUGAAAAACCAGCAUAUGUUAUAUAUCUCUGCCACAAACAUACACAUAAGCUCUCAUUUUUCCUUUUCAUGUAAGUGGUGUUACAUAUUUUAUGUGUGCAGUAUUUUUUUCCUUAGAAUUCUUCAUCAAUACAUAAUGUAUUUAACCUGUCUCCUAUUAAUGGCUGUGUAGGCUAUUUUCAGACUUAUGCUAUUGAAGAUACCAGAAUGCAUGCUUAUUUAUAUUGAUUUGCAGAGAUAUGCAGACAAAACUGCAUCUCUUUUACUACUUAAGAGUAAGUAAAAAAUGUAAGUAAAAUGUAGUAAAAGUAAAAAUUUAGUAAAAGUUAGGUUUGAUUGAAAUAUGCACAUUGUUCUCAAAAGAGAAGUAACCAAUGUACAUUUCUACCAACAUGAUAAAUUUAUGUAUUUAACAAGUAUUGAUUAAUAGGUAUUAGUUACUGAUAGGUAUGAGGUACUAAGAAAAUGUCAAUGAUCAAAGUAGUCUUUUUAUUAUUUUGGAAUCACCCCUCUUGGAAUGCUGUUACUUCUAUUUGAUUGGUGCUUUGGUACCUGUGAUGUUGCUUAUCACAGUUGUCUCAUUUUUUGCUUUUGUCUUUUUUUAAUAUUUAUUUUUUAGUUGUAGUUGGACAGAAUACCUUUAUUUUUAUGUGGUGCUGAGGAUCGAACCCAGGGCUUCGCACAUGUAGGUGAGCGCUUGAGCGCUCUACCGCUGAGCCACAACCCCAGCCCCUACUUUUGUCUUUCUUUAUCAUAAAUCAUCCUCUUAUGGAGGUGGCUUCCAGAAUCCUGGCUUGUUCCUUUCUUCCAACCCUUUAUAAAUUAUUUUUGGAUACUUACAGCUUUUUGCCUUGCCUGCCAUCAUCUUAUCUGUUAAUUGGACAGACAAGUAUCAGAUUUUAUUCUCAUGGUAUCAGUGAAAUCAUGGUAAUAAUCCUUAAUUUUUAUUUACCAUGAUUUCAGACACCCAUAGUGUUCUGAAAAUGUUAAUGAAAAAUUCCAGAAAUAAGCAGUUCAUAAGAAAAUUGCCAUUCUGAGUAAUUGGGUGAAGUCUCACGUUGUCCUGGAAUAUGAACCUCAGUUUAUCCAGUGUAUCCAUGCUGUAUACACAGUUCAGCCUGUGACAGUAGAGAAUGAGAGGGAGAGUUUAUAUUUACAUAACUUUGAAUAUAGUAUAUUGUUAUAAUUUUUCUAUUUUUGUUGUUACUCUCACUGUGAAUAAUUUUGUAAAUUAAAGGAAAAACACAACAUAUUGUAGAUUUUGGUACUAUUCGUGGCUUCAGGCAUGCACUGGAAGUCUGGAAAUGUAUUCUCUGAGGAUAAGGGAAGAUUAGUACUCUACCAAAAUUAGAAAUUUUAUUCCAUUAUUUUCAGAUCCAGAGAUCAUCUCAGACCAGUUUCAUAUUAUGUCUGGAUUAUUUCUUAUGAUCAUUGAGGCCUUUAAAAAGGUAUACUUCACUGUACUCAAGAGAACAUAGACCAUAUGAUUAUGAAUAUGAACAUUUCUUUCUCUGUAAAAUUCUUUGAAUCUUGACCUUUGAUUAUGAAAUUUUCUACUUAUUCAGGUACUGCUUAUCAUUUAAACUUUUGUGGCACACACUGUAAUCCCAGCAGCUCAGAAGGCUGAGACAGGAGGAUUGUGAGUUCAAAGCCAGCCUCAGCAAUGGUGAGGCGCUAAGCAACUCAAUGAGACCCUGUCUCUAAAUAAAAUACAAAAUAGGGCUGGGGAUGUCAGUGGUGGAAUGCCCCUGAAUUAAAUCCCCAGUUACACCCUCCCCCCAAAUAAAAAUUUAAACUUUAAAAAAAUAUGUUUUUAGUUACAAAUGGACAUAGUACCUUUAUUUUAUUCGUUUAUUUUUAUUUGGUGUUGAGGAUCAAACCCUGUGCUUCACGUGCUGGCCAGCACUGUACCAUCC
rnacentral:lncRNA from 1 species